AUUGAACGCUGGCGGCAGGCCUAACACAUGCAAGUCGAACGAGUGGCGGACGGGUGAGUAAUGUCUGGGAACGUGCCCGAUGGAGGGGGAUAACUACUGGAAACGGUCGCUAAUACCGCAUAUCAUCGGAUGGUCCCAGGUGGGAUUAGCUGGGUGGGGGGGUAACGGCUCACCUAGGCGACGAUCCCUAGCUGGUCUGAGAGGAUGAACAGCCACACUGGGACUGAGACACGGCCCAGACGCCUACGGGAGGCAGCAGUGGGGAAUAUUGCACAAUGGGCGCAAGCCUGAUCCAGCCAUGCCGCGUGUAUGAAGAAGGCCUUCGGGUUGUAAAGUACUUUCGGCGGGGAGGCGUUACUCGAAGAAGAAGCACCGGCUAACUCCGUGCCAGCAGCCGCGGUAAUAC
rnacentral:rRNA from 1 species